GCGGGCGUGGUGUAUGGUACACCGCUGUAUUUUAUGUAAACAUUGUAUGCGAGACUGCCAACAGUGUGACUGGGUUCGACUCCCGGCGCCCGCA